rnacentral:rRNA from 1 species
GAUCUGGUUCAGGAUGAACGCUAGCUACAGGCUUAACACAUGCAAGUCGAGGGGCAUCAGGAGACUAGCUUGCUAGUUCGCUGGCGACCGGCGCACGGGUGCGUAACACGUAUCCAACCUACCCAUGGCUCAGGGAUAGCCUUUCGAAAGAAAGAUUAAUACCUGAUGGUUUCCUUCACCCGCAUGGGUGUAUGAAUAAAGAUUCAUCGGCGAUGGAUGGGGAUGCGUCCGAUUAGCUUGUUGGCGGGGUAACGGCCCACCAAGGCGACGAUCGGUAGGGGCUCUGAGAGGAGGAUCCCCCACACUGGAACUGAGACACGGUCCAGACUCCUACGGGAGGCAGCAGUGAGGAAUAUUGGUCAAUGGGCGAAGGCCUGAACCAGCCAAAAGUAGCGUGAGGGACGACUGCCCUAUGGGUUGUAAACCUCUUUUGUUUGGGAAUAAAGGACCCCACGUGUGGGGUUUUGCAUGUACCUUACGAAUAAGCAUCGGCUAAUUCCGUGCCAGCCGCUGC